rnacentral:lncRNA from 1 species
CGGAUAACAUGGUAUUUAGUCAAGGAUUGUGCAAAUAUCCUCUAAGGUAUCGUUUGAUUUGGGAAUAAAUAAAAAGUGUCUAUUUCGGGGAUAGAUAUAAAUUGAGGUAUAAGCGGGGAUUAAAUUAAUUUUGCGUUUGGAUGAAAAUUAGGUUAUUCUUGGGAAUAAAAAAAAAAGCUUUUGUAUAGGUAAGAUAGAAUAAGAAGAAUAGUGAGUUUUAUAAAAAAAAAAAUAAUGUAUUAUCCUCUUAUUAUAUUUAAAUUUAAAUUUUUAAAUUUUUAAAUUAUAUUUUUAAAUUUAAAAUUUCAACUUUGAAAUUUCAAAAGUUGAAAUUAAAAUUUUAAAUUUUAAAUCUCAAAAUUUCAAUUCAAAAUUUUAAAUUUUAAAUCUCAAACUUUAAAUUUAAGAUCAAAUUUAAAUUUGAAAAAUAUAAAAUAUUAAAUUUCAAAAUAUCAAAAUUUGAAUUUUAAAUUUUAAAUUUUAAAUUUUAAUUUUGAGAUUACAAAUUAAAAAUUUUUAAAUUUAAAUUUNAUGUAUUAAUAUAAUAUAAUUAAUAAUUUUAUAAUAAAAAUAAUGUAUUAUAAUAUACAAUAUAUUAUAUUUAUAUAAUUUAGUUUUAAUUCAACUUAUAAUUUUAAUUUUGUAAUUAAACAUUGUAAUAGUACUAUUCCAUCAAAAUGGUGAAAAUUCCCGCUUAUCCCCUUACCAAACAGAUCCUAGAAGUUUUCAAAACAUUAAAAAACAAUCGCCUUACAUAAUUUAAUAUGAAAACAAAACAUGUGAGUCUGAGUUCGAAUCACACCAAAUUCCUAGUUUAGAUUAAUUUUCUUCAUUUAGUUCAAGUGUGUAUUUUAUAGACUUUGCUCACAAAUAUGGGGACAUGGAAAAAAUGUAUUUAGUUUAAGACAUUAGAUCUUUAUAUAUACCGGUUCUACCAAGGCUAGAAUGAAUAUAUGAUGUUGAAGUUCCGAGGGUCCACUAAAAAGCAUAGAAGAAGAUAAGAUUUACAUGAUAUAGAUCUCAACUCUAGUAGGGGUUCAAUAUUAAGCUAUACUUAGAUACUUCAAUACCCCACCUUGAGUCUAUAUAUAGAACCCUUCAACCACUUUUUUAAAGAUGAUAAUAAAGCACUCCAUCUCUUAUAAAAAAAGGGCAAGAAAAAAAUCUAGAUGUAGGUCCUCUAAUAGUCUAUUGGUAAUGGAUUAGGUUUGUACUGGUUUUGUGAAAAUUGAGAUACAAAGAUGCUACAAAUAUAUAAAAUAAAUAAUUGAGCAUCUAUUUAUGACGGCCAACCUAUUUUUGUAAAUGUAGGAAGUUGAAUUCAUGCCUAUAUUUGUUUCUGUAACCGAUGUCGUGAGAUUACCGAAACUGGCACUCACAAUUGUACGAAAAUCAAUCUUUUGACUUCAACCAGGUGGGAGGCGAAAUCUGAUUUGUAAAACUUAUAAAUUUUUCUCAAAUUUUUUGCUUCUAAAUAGUCUUUUGCGAUCUAAUUAUGAUGUUGUACCUUUUAUGGCAUGAGCUAAUAAACUUAGCCUGAAGAGGACAAGGAUAAAAAUGUAUGGAUCUCAUUUAGAAUAUAUAUAUAAAAAAAAACAAUUUGCCCCUCCACAGUUUAGUUUAUUUUUACCGUGCCAUUUUGUGGUCCAAAAAUUUGUAUUUAACUAUCCAAUAAUUUUAUCCCUAUUUUUAUUUAAAAAAUCUACUAUCAAAUAGUAUUUCAAAGCAUUUUUUUUCAUAACCUUAGAAAAAUUAAAUAUAAUUUUUAGAACCACAUGAUGAGAAAGUUUAAAUGAGCUAAACCAUAGGAGGGCAAAUUGAAGUUUACCCAAAAAAAUGCAUGGACCUCGCAAAAUAGGUACCUAAAGUUUACAUAUUUUGAUUUUACUAUGUAAGCUUAUAAUAUAUUUGAUUCAGUAUUUCCCCAUCAGAAUUUAAAGAGAUAUUUUUUACUCUUUUGAUAGAAUAUUUUGUAAUCUAAUACAAUAUUCCACUAUUUAAUGUAGUCUACAAGUUUCUAAAGGAAAAUUGGUAAAUUCUAGAAGAAUCUGAUAAAAUUUUUUCAGAAAUUUUUAGAAAUAAAAAAAUGUAAGAUAAGAGAGUGAAUUUAAAUAUAUAGUAAGAUAAUAAGAGAGUGAAAUCAAUUUUUUUUAAAAUUCAGGCAUCCAUUUCAAAAAAUUGCUACAGCUACCACAUUAUUAUUAUUUUCAUUAAUUUUCUCUGAUCCUCUUAUCACUAGAUAAGAGUUGCACCAAAAGGAUCACCAAAUAAUAUUUGUCAUAUCAUAUAUAGGGCCAACAAGUUAGUACAAUCUACUUAUUAGCACAUUCCUACCGGUGGAUCGUCUCCUAACCUAGUCCUAUAAUCCACAAAAAAAAAAACCAGGAUAUUAAAUUAAGAAAAUGACCUUUUGGAUUAACACAACUAAACUAUUACACUAAGUACAAAUGACCAUAGCCUUACGCCCAAAGAUAAAUAAAAAAAAAACCCAUGAUCAUAUUGGUUAGUAUCAUCAAACAGUGUGUUAUGUAGUGCCGUGGCCCGACAACCUCGAUUUCCCAGCAAUAAGUGGAGGAAUUAUGUAGCGCACAACACCCUUAAACAAUAGGAUUAUGCCUUGUUUUCGUCCUUGUUUACAUGGUGGUCAAAAGUUUAACUCUUAAACUAAGUUAAAUCCACAUGGCACGAAGCUGCUGCUUUCGUUGAACCGCGAUUCCGGUGGUCUUUAUGAAGUUUUUCGACUGUUGGUUUAGUCUCUCUCCAAGUUUUGCGCAUAACAGUGGAUUAGGAGGGAACUCAAUUUAUCAGAAUAAAUGGGCGUGGCCACUGUUAGAUGUUAACAUAUCACCCCCUCCAUGGUGAAAUGAUAACACUAUAUAAGUGCGAGUGGGCCGAGUUAGGUCAAAUGCUAUCACGGCCUAGACCCGUUUUAACUAUGACCUGGGCUGAACCCAAUCUAGUCCUGAUAAACUAAACCUAAGUCACGGAUUGAAUGAUGAUCACAUAGUAGUGUCUGGUAGGUAGGCAAUAAUCAAACUUUAAAAUCAUAUUAAGUGCAAAAUAUGGCCAAGUGAUUGUGCAUGUACAAAUUUCACAAGAAAAGAGAUGGGGAAAGAUACCUGAAAAAGGCAGACCUUUAUUAGUGAUGCCAGAUCAAGUCAUAGUGAUGUUGGAUGAGCCUGUAAUGAAAAUUGUACGAAAUAAGUUGAUUCUAAUUCGAUUUAGGACAAAAUGCGGAACAAUCCAAUAACAUUUAUAUCAAGCAUACCUGUUGGUUUAAGUUGUUUUUCUUCCUUGUAGUCCCCUCAAUCAAAGCAUAGAAUAGAGUAAGCACAAAGACCUCUUAUUCGAACAGGUAGAUACUGCUCCCCUGUCAAAUCAUCUUGAAAUUGCAUCUCAAACUAUUGUAGGAUCCUUCUAUCUUUGUCCCUUUUUUGGUGUUCUAAAGAUGCUUUGUUUGUAUCCCUGCCAUUCUCUCCCAAUGGAGAAGAUGCUUGGUUUGUAUUGAAACCACUGUAACAUACGGCACGUGUCAACUCAUUUAUUCAUUACGGAAACAGCAGUUGAAUCAAUAACUGUGCUUAGAACUUUUCAAAGAAAACUCAACAGGAACAAAAAAACCAUUCAAUAGGCUGAACAAGCACAUCAACUAUAGGUCUCUCUCUGGUGCUAAAUUCUGUGAGAGACUUAAGUAUAGAAGUAUCUAUCAUAGAUGAAAAUUCAACUGCUUAAACGAAUCUAUUACCCAGGAAAACGAUGAUAACCAUACUAACACAAUAACAGCCUAGUUUAAUAGGUAAAGAAGGUUAGAGAUAGAAGUAGAGCAACAAGAAAUCUAUCUAAAAAUUUUACAUAUUAUAUCAUCCAUUUGUAAGGUGAUCAGACUGUGGAAAGAUUAGAAAUAAUAGUGAAACAAUAUCCGUUAGCAAUGUCGAAGUCUCUGAUUAGAUAAAAGAACAUAAAAUAAUGAUCAUUGAUGCUACCCAAAUGGUUAUCCUGAAAAUUGGACCUCACUAUCACAUUUGUCAAUAUCGGUACCACCUCCGCUCUCGCCAUAUCCAUCACCGCCAUCAUUGUCCUCACAUGACACCUAACCCCAUGCCUAAUCAUUUUAAAUCAAGAAAAUGGCUCAAUAUGUGUUCCUCUUGACUGAUCCAUAGACUAAAGUAACAAGAAUAAAACCACUAGCACUGUAAACAAAAUGAAAAGAUAAGUCUCACACCCUGAAAGUGUUUUCCAUACUAACAUUACGUACAAGCUGCUUUGAGAAUUAACUUACCCAGCAAAGUUAGAUGGAAGAACUAACUUCUAAGAUAUCAAGCCCUGAAUUAUUUGAUUUUCCUUCUAAACAGAUGAGAAAUACAAGUAUCUAUGAUAAUAAUUCAGUAAGUUUUCUUGUAAUCAGUUGAAUUCAGGCACUUUACUACAACAGUGAAAAAACUAACACAAUUUUAUAACUCAAUUGUCUCAUAAUCUGUUAAUUCCAGGCAGUUUACUACAAUAACAAGAAACUGAACUUUAAAGCGAAAAUAAAAAUCAUACUGGAUGUCUUUAUCAUGCAAAACCCUUUUAGAUUCACUAAUCCAAAUAUCCCAACAAUGCCUACUAGUGGAAGAUACUUUUUCUCACCCUAGUAUUUAAGUGUUAGUGAAGAUUAUUCUUUUCACCUUCAGGCAUUGGUUGUUCCUUAAAUCAUAGUAAAGUAUGCUUGCAAGCAGCCAAGAUAUAACUAAACACAGUGAUCUCCAGUUUAUCAGGCACAGCAAGGAUCUAUUAUUAUGUCUCACAAAUAAUCAGGACGAUGCAAAUUUUUAUCUUCAAGUAUAUUUUACAUCCUUAUGUUCUCUUCUAGUAUUAUGAAGCCGUGAAAAGCACCAACAAGACAUAAUUGAACAGUCAGAUGAACAGGGCAAGUAACGUGAUACGCAAAAUAAUCAAUUAACAAGAUGCUGCAUUUUAAUGCAUCACGGUAAAAUAAUCUUCCAAGCACUUCCAGGUUUACUGAGGUAAGAGAACACCAUUUCGGGCUGAUAGAUACUCACUUUCACCGUAACAAUAAUAUGUUGGUUUCAUCAGAGUAAUGCACAUACUGUGCACCACAAAGGUAGAAAAAAAUAUUAUUUACUAGUUUUACUAGGUUUGCUCCAUUAAAAGCCAGAUACAAACAUUUCCCUCUAGUUAAACCUUCAGCAAAUCAUAGCAUUAGCAAUGAAGUAAAUAAUUUGAUAGUAAGACUUCAUUAAAAAGACCGACCUCAGCUUUGACAUAAACAGAUUAGACUGGUAAGCAACUACUGAAAAUCACUUGUAAGCGACCUGUAAGAACUGUCUCGAAACCAACCUACACCAGCACAAAAAGAGUUGCUAUAGAUGACAUCAAGCAUCUCCCUGAUGCAUCAGUCGCUUACCCAUUAAAACAAAUUUCCUUUCAAACACAUACCCCUUCACUGCAAAACACAACAACAAUUUAGGCAGAAUUGUUGUCCUCUCCAUUUUUGCGAUUUUAGGCAUUGUCUCAAUGUUCAUAUCGUCUAUAAAUACUAAUAUCUGAAGAGCUCUUAAGAAACUUGUAAAACCUAGAGAUGACAAGAUGCGAAUAACCUUACACUUAUCAGUUGUAUCAUUCUUUAGGUGGUGCUGACUAAUGACUUAACUCGAAAUAAUACUUCGUCUCAGAAUUCGUAAAAGAAACAAAGUAAAAGAAAAUGUAAAGCUAUAUUAUGAUCCUUUCAACCUACUUCGGUUAAGAGAGCCUAAAUCGCCUUUCAACAAAAUUGCUGUAUCCCAGUAAAUCAGACACCAGAAAUUAAUCAAGCACUACACUGUCCAGCACUCCAAAGUUUCCUAAUCCCACAUUAUGACUAGAAUUCCUUGUCUCUUAGACCCAAACCAGUUUACUCGUUAUCAGUACCAAAGGGGGUAUCCGAAGUUCGAUUAGCACCUUAAGGUUCCAUUGCACCUAAGGUUAUCUUAGCAUAACAUGUCGCCAUUUACAGUCACUGCAUUAUACAGCAAGUGCCCAGUACCAAUUCAGUAAGUAGUUAGUAAGAACAUAGAAAUAUUCAUCUGAUAGGUAGCCUCUUGACAAAGAAAGCCUAAUGGAUUAACUUAUAUCAACUUUUGCAUCUAUUAAGUCGUUGACGAGGUCGAAAUAGAAGGAGCACGCAAUGUAAGCAGCUGGAUAAAGAGAUUACUCAAAAAAUCAUUAGGUUGGGUGGGCAGAUUCAACCUGAUACAGCAUGACAUGAUAAGAAUUCACAAGCCCACAUUGCUGAUAUGGGAUAGAGAAAUUACCGUUCGCUGCAACAAUACUUUUUGCAAGACCACAAAACAAGAUCAAGAAAAAUACAUGCGAACGGCGGGCAUAAAACAAUACUGAAGGACUUGCUUUUGGGCACAUUUCUACCGGACGACGGCGGCUCAAUUAACGAAGGAUUUGUUAAGCAAUAAAUGGAUUUUAAAACGGAUCAAAUAAGAACUUCUGAAGAACAAGAAAUCACCCAUUCUAAGAGCUCUCAUAUUUGUAACGCAAGUAAAGGUAUUCCGCCGUGGGAUUCGUUCACAAGAAUUUGUAUGAACGACCAAUCCUCUGAUCCCUCUGCGGUGAACAAAAUAAUCGCGAUACAUUGCUUCCUUCUUACCAGUUCAUUGUGCUAAACCCACUAAUUCAACAACAAAACUCUAAAUUUCACAUCCUGAAUCAAAAGGUGCAUCGAAUCGAAACAACAAUCCCCCUCCCACCAAACAGUGUAAAAGCCAAUUUGAAUGUGUAUGAUUGCUUGUUCAGAGCUUCGCUGAGCAUAAAUGAGAAAAAUACGAUCAUGCAUAUACAUACAUAUAUAUAUAUAUAUAUAUAUAUAUAUAUAUAUAUAUAUAUAUANUAUAUAUAUAUAUAUAUAUAUAUAUAUAUAUAUAUAUAUGGCUCAAUGAACAACAAAUGCGGGUACUCACAUGAUCAGAGUUUGCGAUUGAUGAUUCGAACGAAAAUCAGGUAGUAUUACUAAAUUAAAUACCUGCUGUGUACAGUAGAAUGUGACAAAUGUGGCAUAGAUAUUAAAUCAGAUGCUUAAUUAACAUAAGAUUCACAUACUGCGCACAUCAAAAUUAGACAUGCACUCGGAUCAACAAAUCGAAACCCUAGAACAAGUGUGGUGAGUAGAGAUAGACAGUGCAAAGAUGACCACCUGGUGAAGAAAUCGGCGCCGGAAUCGUCACGAAGAUGAAAUCGGUGCGAUUCGGUGCCGUUUUCUUCGUAUUUCCCGCGAACGCUCCGCCAAAAUUCGAAUUUCGAAGGUGAAAAAUGCGUGGAGAAGUAAAAUGCAGUUCACUAGGCCGAGGCAAUUUCAAGUUUUCAAGCAUUAACCGUGUUUGGGUCGGGCCGGGUCGGCCAACGCGGAGGUUCGGCCCAUAACAUAUUCGGCCCGUUUAUUUAGGCCCAACCUGUUUGCUGAUGAGAAUGAACGAGUCUAUCCAAUUCCAACUCGCCUGUAAAUUUUUUUUUUUCCCUUUAAUAUUUAAAAAUUUGAACGAUAAGAAUAAAGAUGAUUCUGGUGCGUUUGAUCGGAAAUAAGACUCACAGGAGGUCCCAAUCACAGCCGUCCAACUGCCGGCCUGUACGGUAACCUCCCCAGUUUGGCAGUUCCCUCACCUCUCAUUCGGUGUAUCAUCGUGUCCCAACGGACUUUUUUCAAAACGGCCCAAUAAAAUUUUUAACUGAAUAAAUAAUUUUAUGAAAUCUUUUUUUGGCAAAUUAUUUUUUUUUUAUCAUAUAGAAUCAUAUUAAAAUUUUCUCUUAGAGACGGUAAACGUUUCACCGUCUUACUAAUUUUUCACAAAAAUAAUGAAUCAUUUACCAUUUUUUACUUAUUUAUUGUUUCUUUCUAUAUCUCAUAUAUAAUUUUAAUAACCAUAUAAAAAUUUCAACAAUCACAUAUAAUCUUAACAACCUAAAAAUCUUAAUAAUUUAUCACCCAACAAUCAAAUAAAAAUUCUAAUAAUCUACGUAUAAUUCUAAAAAUUCUAAUAAUCUACGUAUAAUUCUAACAACCUUUUUUCUGUUUUUUUUUUAAGUCUGGAAGACUUUCAGAAUGCGGUGAACGAUUACGCGGCUCCGAUCGUGGCGAAGAGAAGAAUAUUAGUUUGCGAAAUAUAAAUUUGGAAGGAUUAUUUUGUAAAAAGGUUCCGCCCAAACAUAUCCAACGGUCAGGAUCUCGUGAUCUCCCACAGUCCAAUAACAUCGCAUCCUCGUGACAUUGACUGCUUCUCUCUCUCUCUCCUCCCCAAGAAGGAAUCGGACAAAAAAAAUCAAAAAACAAACCCCCUGUAGUUUCUUUAUUUGCAUAACUCCAAGGUCACACCCGGUCAAGCCAUUGUACCUGGGCCCAUUCUUUCUCCAUCCAUAUCUUUUAUCUUAUUAUAUAUAUUUUUGGUGAAAAUAUUAUAAUAACCCCUCGACAAUAUUAUAUUUCUGAAAUAACCUGCUACAUUUUACUAUUCCUUAAUUCUUAUACUAGCUCCAUCGAUUUUUUUUUCUUUUUUUUUUAAUUUUUUACCGACCGUCUCUAGAGCAAGUGGCAAAGGGCUUGGUGAUUGAUACCUGAGACCUAAGUUUGAAUCCUAGUUGAUUCACAUUUCUAGCUAAGCGUGCUAUCUAUCUCUCUCAAAAAAAAAAAAAAAAAUUCUUUUUUUUUAUUUAGAUUAUUUUAAAAUAGCCAAGUUGAAGAUCUUAUUAAAUUGAAUAAUUUUAUUGUCUAUUGCUGAUUAAAUGUAUAAUUUUAUUUGGUAAAAAAAUAAUUAAAAUUAUCUGAUUUGAUUGAAUUAGUGAUGAAUACAAUAAAAUCUCCUAAUAACUAUAGUAGGUGAGGUGAUCUCCAUCCAUUUUUUCUAAAAGUAAAAAAUAAAGUUGAAUGGUUAUUUCAAAAUAAUCUAUAUUUGAGGGGGCUCUCCACACAUUUUCACCCAUCUUUUUUUCUCACGCCAACUUUAUUAGAACUUUAACUUUUUUUUCUUCCCCAGCUUUUACUAUUCAGAACAUAGCAAGAUCAAUUCAAUUUUUUUUUGUAUCUCCCAACUCUUUUGUACUCUUCACCACUACAAAAAGCGCUCCACCUUUCUCUGCUUCCUUUUACUAGGCUUUUUCGGCUUCUUGGAGAAGAGCUUUUCAUUUUUAUUUUAUUUUUAUUUUUCUCAAGAGGUGUGUAGUGAUCAUCAUCACCAUGGGGAGAGCUCCGUGUUGUGAUAAGGCCAAUGUUAAGAGGGGGCCAUGGUCCCCCGAAGAGGAUGAUGCUUUAAGGAACUACGUUGAGAAACAUGGGAGUGGUGGGAGCUGGAUAUCCUUGCCUCAAAAAGCAGGUUUUUUUUUUUAAAAAAAAAAAUUAUUUUUCUUCCUCCUUAUUGUGUAUUUUCUUUGUUUCUCGAGUGCCCAUUUGUAAAUUUUUAUCUAUUUUGUCACUUUUUUAAUAUUUUUUUUGCAACCUUAGUUGCUUCAACAUUUUUUUUUUUUUGGAGUAAAUAAUAUUAUGAUCCAAGAGUAGUGGGUUUUUGUUUUUUGUUUCUCCUCUCCUUUGAGAACAAAUAGAAGUGGAUGUUUAGAAUGAGUAAUCAAUCACAAAAGGAGAGAAUGGCUUUUGAGCUUUCUCAAGUUGGUGUUUAAUUUCAUCUUUUAUGCUAUUGAACAAUGCUUUGUUUUUCACUUUAAUUCCCUAAACUACCUUAUAUUUAUUUUUUUUAGGCCUCAAACGAUGUGGAAAAAGUUGUCGCUUAAGAUGGCUCAAUUACCUUCGACCUGAUAUCAAGCAUGGUGGCUUCACCGAAGAAGAAGAUAACAUCAUCUACGCUCUCUACCAAAAAAUAGGAAGCAGGUAACUAACACCAACUCUAAGUUUAAAAUUUUACUUUUCCGAUCCCUUCAUUAUCGUCACUUUUUAACUCAUUAUGUGUUUUUCUAUCUUUUAUUAGAUGGUCCGUGAUAGCCUCGCAGCUCCCCGGGAGAACCGAUAACGAUAUCAAGAACUAUUGGAACACGAAGCUUAAGAAGCGUAUGAUCAUGUCGCAAAGUAACGUUCCUACUACUACCGCCGCAGCCGCCGCAUCGCAUAGCGUCGUUCGCACUGCGUCGACACCGCCGCUCAUUAUCCCCACGGUUAAAAUGGAGGGCUACAACUGCGACGAUUUCAUGGCGCCGCCGCCGCCGCCGCCGCCGCCGCCGCCGCCGCCAUUCCCAGAAGCCGAAGUUUUUCUGGAACAUUCUGGGUUCAACGAGAGAGUUCACAAGUUUGCCGAAGAAGGUUCCACCACUUGCUCCUCCAACAUCACGGUUGAGAACAGCAACAUUAACUGGUGCACAAGUGCAUGUGGUGAGAGUUACAUUAAUGGGUUUCUCGCUGAGUUUGGGUUAGGGUCUCCUGGGGAGUUACUGGGUGGGUACUAUGCUAAUUUGGAGAAGAAGGGGGAGCAUGAUGCAAAUUUUGGACCUCUUGGUAACAUGUGGGUUACUGGUGACACCAAGCCAAAAGGUUUAUUCCAAUAUUCUUAGCAUGGUAUCAACAAAAUGAUCUUCUUCUUCUUCUUCUUCUUCUUCUUCUUUCUUUCUUUUUUUUUUUUUUUUUGGUGGAAAACAUCAGCCUCUGAAACUUGAUCUUCUCUUGUUUAGUGGUAGAUGGAUACAUGAAAAUGGAUAUAUUAAUUAGGGCUUAAUUUGACUAUAAGGUUGUGGAGUUUGAGCUACACUAUGUUUUCAUGGCUGGAAAAUUAAGUUUUUGUUUUGUAUUAAUUAGCGCAUUAAUUAUGUUUGAAUUAGCAAACAUGUAUACAUGCAUGUGUAAUGUUGAAUGAGACUCGGUCUUAUGUUUAAUUUGUAGCUGAAUGGCAAGGAAAUGUUGGAGGUCACAAAACUUGCAUGAGAGAGAGAGAGAGAGAGAGAAGAUUCCUUUCUUUUAUGCAUCUUUGGUUCCAAGCUUGUUAAAAAAAAUUGUAUUUUAAUUCAAUUUUUUAAUAUUUUGAUUUUAUUACUAAAUAUUUUAAUUUAUUCGAUUUGACAGACAGUUCGACUUCAAAAUUUAAAUUUUAAUAAGUUGUAUAUCUUUACAAACUUACUUAAUUAUAUAUUUCAUACAAUUCUCAUAAUUAUAAUUUAUUUAAAUAAAUAAUUAGCUUAACUUUUGAAAUUAAAAUUUUAUUGACCGACUUAAACUAAACGAAUUAAAAAAUUCAAUAGUAAAAUUAAAUUUAAAAAAUCAAAUAGUCGAUACAAAAUAAUUCUAUACCAUUUUANCAUAUUUAGAAAAGGAGGAGACAUGAUGGGUACUUCUAGCUAACAAAACAGUAAAAAAUGGGGCCUAUAAAAGAAAUUAUAUAUAUAUAUAUAUAUAUAUAUUGGGUUUAUCUUAUUUUAUUUUAAAACAAAGGGGAAAAAAACAAUGUGGAAAAGGCCUUUUUUCAUGCACAGGCUACAUGAGAGUUUGAACAUGUCAGAGUAUCAACUUCGUACACCACUCGCCUGUCACGUCUCAGCAGACGUUUUUUAAUUUCUUCAGCAGCCUCUGACUCUUGGCUCAACACAUUAAUUAAUUGGUUGCAAUUUGUUUAAUAUAUGAUUAUUAAUUUGCUUACUUCUUCUUAAUUAAUUGAAAGAGUUUAACCAUGUGAAUCUAAUGAAGCUGAGUCGUCGCUGUUCUAGAGCUUAUAGAAAUAUUCGCAAGUUUGUGCAGGGUUGAAUGAUUCUAGAAAUCCAUCGAGCUUAGUCUUAAAGAUCGACAGUCGUUUAAGAUUAAUUUUAACAUAGUAAGAAUUUACUGCAAAUAGUUUUAUAUUAAAUAAUUAUAAAAAAUUUAAAAAAAAUUAGCAUAUACUAGCGGUUCAGAUCUACUAGGUUUAAGCUUUUAGAUCGAAUAAGCUCUCUCAGAUAUAUUGCGUAUUUAGGCUCACGUUGUUCUAAGCAGGGUUUAAAAUUUUCUCAUUACAUGCAUGUGGUGUCAGAACCGAUAGUUUGACAAUCACGAGCUACUUGUCGCUAGCGAUUCUUACAAACACCCUUGUUGGAUAUUUAGGUAAGUCAUUCCAUGAAGAGACAAUAGAAUAAUAAAACAAAAUAAUUGCUAUAAAAUGGGGGACAAGAGAAUCAAACUUCAACCGCGGCGGCUUAAGAUUAGUUUUAGCACCCUUGCUUUAUGGCGAAUGUGAGAAUUCAAUUUUGAGACUCGACAGCUUAGGAUUAGUCUUAACACUCCUGCAGGAUAUUAAGUUAUGUGAUCAUAAAGAUACAAUGGAAUAAUAAAAAAGCUAUUAUCCAUAUAUAUUGAUGGAUACGGGAAUCAAACUCUAAAUCUUUUUUAGGAGAGGGAGUUUGCGACUAACCCCAAGUAGCUCAGGAUUAGUUUUAACAACUUAAAGUAAGUUUUAAAGCAUUGGAAAAGUCUAAUCAAAUGAAAAUGACACCUUUUUUUUUUUUCUUUUUCAACAGUACAGUCUAUCAGAUAGGGAGCCCUUUUGAUGUUGCAUUUGGAGUGUUGAUAUAUACUUAAACUGUUCUAUGGUUUCCUAAAAAACCCUAAAAUUUAAACCCACAAGCAACAAGUGACUAUGAAAGUGUUGGAGCUCUAUUAAUUGUUAGGUGACACAGUAGUUAAGUAGCUUUCCAUUUAUUAAAGUUCCCAAACUACCAUUCCUCCUUCCUAUCUCCUUUUUUUGCAAUCUCACUUAUUGAAAAGUUAUAAUAAAGAGAGAGAAAUUUAGUUGGGGUAUAAAUUAGAAAACUUUUGCUAAAGCAGGAAAUAUUAAGAAUGGCAAUGGACCAUGCUUUAGUGCCAAUUAAGAAAAGGAUUUGGGCGAUUUUGAUAGCUAAGUUUUAACUUCACAUGCUUGUACCUUUCCUCUCAUUCAAAAUUCUUUCUCCGAGAAACCGCGAAACGAUUACAAUUGCUACAAAUUUUCGAAUUCAGUUUAAAUGCCAAAUUUGAAUGAUUACAUUUUAUUCUAGAUAGAGAAUAUUUCAUUUUCGUCAAAAGCAUACCUAGCUAGCUAGCCAUGGUCGCGUAACACUACAACUCGUCUAUGACAAUUUGUACAAAAUUUGCUAAUUAUAGGAGUUUGCUGAUCGAUCGACUUUGUGGUGAUCAACGCGCAAACUAUUGUAAUCGCGUUGCGCUUAAUAGCUUUUUCUCUUCAAAAACUUAUCGUGAUGUAUUAUUUGAUUUUUGAAGAGUCGACAAAAUUACAAGUUUGGUUGAUUCAAGAACCUAAAGUUUCGCCAAUGGACAAGGUCCUAGUUAUUUCUGAAAAUUUAUCCUGGUAAGUAGUAAUGGAACUCUUAAAUUUAUAACCAACUUGCGUUAAUAUACGAGUUAUUUGAGGCAUUUGACCAUUAUAGCUCGGUUUUUUUUUUUUUUUUAAUCCCCUAGUUCUCUUUUUUUUUUUUUUUUUUUUUUGCUUUCUUUUAUUGCUUUUGCUUUUUUUUUUUUCUUUUUGUUUUGUUCUUUGGGNAUGCAUUGGUACACAUUUUUUUUUUUUUUUUUUUUUUUGGUUUGUUUGUUUAACAUUAAACUUUUCCUCUAGAGCAUUGAUUUCAAAGUUUCAUCAAUUCUUGUACCAUAAAGAAAUUUUAGUGCACUGGUUUAGUAUAAAAUACGUUCACCGACAUACAGAAAAAAAAAAGAAAAAAAAAAGAAAAAAAAGAAAGAAAAAUUAAAAAAAGAACAGGAUCACAAUCAUGUUCUUCUAGAUGUCAUGAAUGAAGAGUAGUACAUCUAUAAAUAACAUACCUUUUAAUUUAAAUGUUAAUUUCUAAUUACAGUAUUGUCAUAUAAGAAUAAUUUUAAUUUUAAUUUUAAUUAAGUCUACUUCAUCAAUCAACAUAACCCAUAAAUAUAUUGCUUGAAGUCAACCUAAUGGUGCUAUUUGAUUGACUUAAUUUUUCCAUGAUGUUAACAAUGUGCUUUUUCAUACAAGAUUACAACCAAAUUUCCAUAAUUUUUUUUAAAAAAAAAGAGAUAGGUAGCACGCUACUCGCUUCGUUUAUUUAAUUUAGAAAUAAACAUAGCUGAAAAUGUGAAUCAACUAGGAUUCAAACUUGAGAUCUCGGGUACCAACCACCAAAUUCUUUGGCACUUGCUCUAGAAACAGUCGGUCCAAAUUUCCAUAAUUGAAAUAAGUUAAUGUGCAGUAUUAAAGUGAUGAAAAUUCUUGGCUGUGAAUAUUAAACUACAAAAUGCAAAAAAAAAAAAAAAAAAAAAAAGGCGCAAGUGGAGAUUAAAUAUUCUUCAUGAAUUUGGAUCCAUUAAUUUCAGAAGAGAUAGGCUAAUCAUUUUAUAUAUAAUAUUUUGUUUUUGGAUCUACUGAUUCCUGGAUCAGCUAUAGAGUAUCCAAAGUAACAUCCUCAAGGGGCUUAGAGACUUUAUAUUUGAGAUUAAAUACAUUAAGUCAUAAAGUGUCUUAAAUACAUUAAGACACAUUAUGUCACCAAUGUGUACGGGCCCGCAACUUGGGACGGUAAAGAGGCAUUCUACUUAGAAUUGGCUCAGCUAAAAUCGUGUUGCGAAGGAAGAUGGGUUAUCUGCGGAGAUUUCAACAGUAUUAGGAGACAGGAAGAGCGAAAAGGGAAGACCUAGAGUGCUCAAGCUACGAAUUGCUUCAAUGAGCUUAUAAGGGAACUUGAAGUAAUCGACCCACCAAUGUUGAAUCAAUCCUUCACUUGGUCAAAUAUGCAAAAAAACCCUACCCUCGCGAGGCUUGAUCGUUUCCUAGUCUCAACGGAGUGGGACCAGGACUUUCCUUUGUCCAGAGUUGAAGCGCUCCCUCGUGUUACAUCUGAUCACUGUCCCAUUCUCUUAUCAGUCGAGAAGAAUAUCAAGAGGAGGAUAAAAUUGUUUAGAUUCGAGGAAGCUUGGCUAAAUCACGAGGGAUUUAUCGACAAAUUACCUGGAUGGUGGAAGGAACAGGCCCCGGAAACUUUAGCGGUGCUUCCUUUCACAGCGAAACUAAGACAUUGUCGACAAAGAAUUAAGGAAUGGUGCAGGCAAGAGUUCUAUAGCAUCAGAGGAAUGAAAGAUGAGUUAAUGAUGCAAAUACUCGAGAUCGACAAAGCCGAGGAACAAGACAUUCUUUCAGAGGAAAGAGCACGAGUAAGGGAAGAGCUAAAAGCAAAAUUAGGAGGAAUUCUGAACGAUGAAGCUACUUUGUGGCGAACUCGGGCUAAUCAGCAUUGGUUAAGGGAAGAAGAUCGGAACACUAAGUAUUCCAUAGUAUAGCCAAUGGGAGAUGAAGAGCCAAUGAAAUCGGCGUGGUUGUUGAUAAUGGAAGGGUUUAUCAGGCUGAGGAGGAAAAAAAGGACUAUUUUUUUCGUAAAUUUAAGGAGCUAUUCACGCCGGAAGAAUCAACCCCAACCUCUUUUGGGGACUGGAGCGGCCUCUUUUCCUCUGGUAGGGUUGCGGAGGAUAAACUUAGGAGGCGAAAUGAACAUUUUAGCAUUGACGAAAUAAAGCACGCAGUCUUCCAACUGGGGAGUGAUAAAGCGCCGGGCCCGGAUGGAUAUUCAAUAAGGUUCUACCAAACCUUUUGGGAUACUGUAAAGGAUGAUCUAUUCAACCUUUUCCAGGAUUUGUACGAGGGAAGGCUGUCUACCACCCUCAUCGACUAUAGCUAUAUUUGCUUGAUACCUAAGAAGGUAGGAGCAGAGAGAGCAAGUGACUUUCGACCUAUUAGCCUGCUUAACGGUAUCCAGAAGAUCGUGUCGAAGGUGCUAGCCAAUCGGCUAGUAGUAGUUCUGAAUGACUUAAUUUCCCCAUCACAAUCAGCUUUUGUGAAGGGGAGGAACAUCACCGACGCGUAUGCUACAGUAUCGGAACUUAUAGGGUGGGGGUGUAAGAAGGGAAUUGAGGGGGUCGGCAUAAAAGUGGAUUUCGAAAAGGCCUAUGAUAGGGUUCAUUGGCCGUUUCUCUUCAGUAUACUACGGUGGUGGGGGUUCGACAAUAAAUGGUGCGGAUGGAUAGAACAAUGCGUGUGUAAUGCGAAAGUAGCUAUAUUGGUCAACGGGGAGCCGACCAAUUGGAUUAAAACUAAGAGAGGAGUGCGUCAAGGAGACCCGCUAUCGCCCUUCCUGUUCUUAUUGGUGGCGGAGUGUCUAGCCAAAAUGACCAACGUGGCCACAGCUAACAACCUCCUUAAAGGGAUUGGCCCAUCCGAUGAAAGUCGAACUACUCUCAUACAGUUCGCGGACGAUACUUUCCUCUUCUGUGAGGCGAGGAAGAAAUAUAUGAAAAAUCUUAGACUGAUGUGGAGCCUAUUUGAGUGGGCCUCGGGAAUGAAAAUUAAUAGGGAGAAAUCGGAACUCUACUAUAUGGGGCAGAUUGAGGGCAGGGCGGCAAGACUAGCAAAUCUAUUGGAGUGUAAAGUCGGGACCCUGCCAACCACUUACCUUGGCUUUCCCCUCUCCCCUAGACGCCCCACAAAGGCGGUAUGGACAGAGAUCAUUCAGAAAAUUCAGCGCAGAAUUGAGGGAUGGCAAGCCAAACUUCUCUCAAGAGGAGGUAGACUCAUACUAGUCAACGCUGUCCUUACCAACCUACCCCUUUACUUCCUAUCUGUGUUUAAGGCGCCUAAGUGGGUGAUCAAGCGUAUUGAAGCCUUACGCAGAGACUUUUUCUGGAAUGGGGUAAGCAACUCUCUAGGCAAGGGAUGUUUGGUGGCUUGGAAGAGCGUCUGUUUAAGUAAAAUACAAGGGGGGUUGGGCAUUUUGGAUAUAGCUAUUAUGAACCGGGCACUCCUAAUCAAAUGGUGGUGGAGAUUCCAUACUGAACCACAGUUACAGUGGAUCAAGAUUAUCCGAGCCAUGUAUUACCGAAGAAGAAGACCUUUGAGGGAGGGAAAAAGCUUCAGCCCCUACUCAUACUGGUGGAAGGGAGUCGUUAACACCGGUGUCUUGUUUCAUUGGGGCAUUUCCCACUCACUGGGUAAUGGAAACUCUAUUGAUUUUUGGACGGACAGAUGGUGUGGGGACACCUGCUUACACUUAGCUUUUUCGGAGAUCUACGCGCUGACGGAACACAAUUUAAUAAAGGUCAAGGAUUGCUUUAACAGUCAGGGCUGGAACUGGACUAGGAUGUUGAGUGAAGAGCUGAUUAUAAGGUCCGGGUUGGGAGCAAAACUCUCGGUACUCAAGGAUAGGGUUACUGGAUACUAUGUAACGCAAGGACCGGAUACGAUACGUUGGAGAUGGUCGACCAACGGAUUAUUCUCGGUCAAAUCGGCCUAUACCAUGUUGAACGACAGGGGUAUGAGGGACAGACGUGCUAACAAAAUUUGGAAUCUACGUAUACCUCUCAAGGUUAAAGUGUUCUGUUGGCUAGUACUCAAGAAGAGGCUCUUAACAGCUGAUAACCUCGCGAAGAGAGGUUGGUAUGGUGAUACGACAUGUAUGCUAUGCAUGUUACACGAUGAGACCGUGAACCAUCUACUCGCGCAAUGUGUCUUCACUAAGUUUAUCUUGGUGAUGGGUGUGGAGAAUAUUCAAGCUACGGAGAUGGGAGACGAUGUUAUUCAUAUCUGGGAUAGGUGGAUGGUGAAGAAAAGAUGGCAGGAUACGAGGCAUAGCCUCCCUGAAUUGGCUGCGUGUUGGUGGACUUAGGCAAGGCUAGGAACGAUAUGAUCUUUCGAAACAUCCAACUAGAUCCCCUCGUCGCGGUGUACAGAUUUAAGGAGCUGCUGAAAUCUUGGGAGCUGUGUGCAUAAACUGCUAGACGUCCUACCAUAGCGGUUUUUUUUAUUUUAUUUUAUUUUAUUUUAUUUAUUUUUAUUUUCGCGCCCUUCCUUCGAGGCCCUGGCUGCCUCACCAUGUAGCCUAAUUCAUAUUUUCAAUGAAUGAAGCAGGUAGCGUCUACCUUUCUCAAAAAAAAAAAAAAAAAAAAAAAAAAAAAAAAAUAAAGUGCCUUCAUAAGUAAAAUUCCCAAGUUGUAGAUCCAUGCACGAUAUUGUUAGAUUUUAGUAAAGUAUGAGAGGAUAAUGUAAAUUGUAACUUGAAAGAUCGUUCUACACAUUUGCAUGAUCCAAAAUUAGUAUUAACACUCCCGCUCGCAUGUACGGUGAAUAUUAGAUGAAUGAUGCUAAAAAAUAAAGCAUGCGGGAAUUAAACUCGAGACAUCUUUUGGAAGGAAGAGAAGGAUUGGUUGUAAUACCAAAAUUAGUAAGAAACAACUUGAGAUUAAUCUUAACAUGAUUAAUCUCAUAAGUACAAUGUUCUCUCUAAUGCGAGUUUUUGGUCGUAAGUAGGUAGAUUAAUAAUUUUAAAUUAGCACUAAUCAAAUUACCUCUAUCGAAUAAUUCAAAGCUACUUUUCAACGUCCUUUCAAAAGAAAAUAUAAAAUUGAGGAAAAAGUCAAUUUCCCUUAUUGCUUGGUGACAUGGUUGCACAAGAAAGCUUAUAAAUGUUAGGAAAGGUCAAACCUUGAUUACGAUAAUGUCUUUUCUAAAUUGCAAGUUACAUUAAUUCAAUUAAUUAUUGCUAAUGUCGAAUUAAAUUUUUGGAUCAAUUUAAACCCUCUUACUUAGUCUCAUCCCGUGUGGAAAAAAGAAACACACUCCAGGUUAUGACCCCUGUUUUUUUGUCCUAAUUGCUUCACAGGAAAGUAAUUAAGAAUUAUUAUGAAAGAAUGCUGAACUAAUCCGGGAAUUUAAGAAGAUAAUAAUUGCAGCUUUGUCUUUUUUUCACCCCCUUUUCUUCUUAGUUUUAUUCAAGUAGCUAGAUAAGAAUCAGGAUUAAGUAAAUUUUCAAUUUUAAGGCCUCCUUUCUUUAUAUUUUGGAAGAGAAUAAUGAGUUAGAGGAAAAGAAAUAUGUUAAUUUGUCGAUAAAACUCCAGAAAUUAUAACAUAGCUGAAUCGAUUGGAAUCGAAAUAUGGUGAUACCUUUACGAAAACAAACGUAAUACAUUUUUUUCAUUAAACUUUUUUUAUCGUGUAUAACACAUUCUCUCGCAAUUCCAAACAGAGCCUAGACCCCUUUUACGAGUUGCCUCAAAGGGACAGCAGCGGCCUUCCGAACCAAGUUGAUCUCGUAUUCCUCUUUGAGAUUUGCAUCAGGUUACGCAAUUUUUUCGCAGUUCUUCUGAUUUGUUCUGAAUCCUUAAAUCUCUGGCAAAGCAGUUAACUUCAAGUAGUGAUUGAAGAGCCAUUAUGGGCACACAUUAUGCUCUCUCAAAAAUGAUCAUGGACACAAAUCUCUUCGCUUCUGCAGCUUGCUUCGUAGAAACUAAUAAAAAAGUUGCUUCUUAUUUCAAACGAUUAAAACUGUAGUGAUCUGUAAUAAAAAUUACAGAUCACAGCACUCACCAGGAGUGUUUCUUCAUAGAAAAUCAAGCUGACUUAUUCGGCAUUAGUACAUAACCUUCAUUCUUCACUAAUACCCUAGGAUUAUUUUAACUUACAGAUAUGAACGGAUAGAAACAAAUAUAAAGCAUCCAUGUUCACUGCUGCUGAUGCUGCAGCAGCUAGCGAAACUUAUCUACACCGAUAAUUUCUCAACAUCAUCUCGCUUUGACCGGACAUAUUCAACUCUUCAAGUUCUCUCCAUUUAGAAGUUGGGUUGGCGGCUCUAUUUCCUUCUUUGAGUCCUCGAUGUCUUUGGUGCUUAGAAAGCUCGGUUGAUUAGUUGACGACAGUAGCCUCGCCCACAUCCUGUCUGUGAUCACAACUUUGUUCUGCGCUUCUGUGAUCCUCUGCAACAUUGACAGAAAAGAACAUGAUUUUAAAAGACUUAACAGCAUAUCAAAGAAAUAUAGUUAAAAUAACGCAACCAUGACCACUAUAUAUUGAAAAGACACCAAUGCAUUUAUUAACUCAUUUCGGUUAGCAUAUAAGAAAUGAACAAAGUUUUCACUUGCAACAUAUGUUAUGCGGACAUCUCACUCUUCUGAUUUCUCGUCUACUAGAUGCCGCAAAUGACACAAUUCUCAUCCACGAACAGCAAAUUAAAUGAAUUCUACCUAAAAUUUGCUAGAUGUCUAUUACCCGACAAUAUUACAGCUUUUCCUUAUUAGUGUAUGAUGCUUCUGAGGCAAGGACGGGCGUAAAAUGCGCUAAACGCAUUCCUCUCAAAGAAAACAAGGGUGCUUACUCUAAAUUUUGUUAUAUACAGAAAGAAGGAACUGUCCUUCAGAGAGCUCAUGACAGAUCACAGGGAGGCCUUCAAUGGGUGAUAGUUGGAUACAUGCCGUUCAACUCGAGACCUCUCCAAUGAGUUAUUACUGUCGACCAAAUCAACCUCUUCCUCUUAAAGACUCAAGUAGCUCUCAGUUGUUACUUACCACAUAUAUAUAUUAUAAUAACUCACCAAGUGAGAAAACAAAUAGAACUCAUUUGAGCUAAUUGAAGGGAUCAGCACCUUUGGACCUUCAUCAGUUGAAGACAACAUUUAAGAAAAGAAAGUUGCUGAUGAUGAGAUGAUGCUACUUACAUACAAAGGAAUGUAAGCAUGUCUUCCAUUAACAGGCCCAACAGUAAAACCAGUGUAUCCUGCCAUGGCACCAUGAAUUGCACUAUGAGCCAAUAAUGUGCAGUAGACAUUAUCUGAUGCAUUGCUCGGAAUUGCACGUAUCAUAUAUGUAGGAUCUGCAAUUAAAGCAUAUAACUUGUCAGAUACGAUCAUCCAAAUGGCGUUAGUAGAUCACAAUAAUAAAGAUAUUAUUUAAACCCACAGACCUAUAUAUUUCAGAUUGAUCGUCAUCUUCUGUAGUUUUGCAAAGUGAUCCUGCAAUUUGAAGAAUUUUAGUGACUAAUUUCAAAAUCAUGAGAUGGAUGCUUGAAUAAUUUUCCAAAACAAUUGGUAACACCUAGUGCUAAAAUUUUGGCAAGGAAUCUAACCUUUAUCUUUUGAGAGAGCCAAAGCCCAACAUCUAGGAGGAGCUUAUUUCCAGAAGCAUCUUUAUGGUCAAUGGACCGCAUGCUUUCAGCUAUAAGCUCCUGACCUGCACCCUCAGCAACAACAAUAACCAUAUGGCCAUUCUCCUUAAGGCGCUUCUCGAUGUACUCGAAAAGUCCGCCUUCCCCUUCUAGAUAGAAUGGCGAUUCAGGAAUCAAACAACAGUCCUGCAAAAUUAGAUUGUCGACCACUUGGUUACCAAGGGAAAAUGUUCCCCAUUUUACUGGAAGUUGACAACAGAGACAUCUUUGGUAGGUGACUUUUAUUUUGAAAGCCAAACGAUUAUGCUUAAGGAAUGAAGAACAAAAGAAAUCAACAUACCACAUCUCGACUUGCAAGAGUAGCAUACAUUGCAAUAAAGCCUGCAUCAGUGAAACUUCAAUGUAACUACACAAGGUAUGUGAGCAGUAACAUUGGCAACUCAAGAAAUUUCCAGAGGUACUUUCUUGUAAGACUACGCACACUAGGAAGACUCUAAUGAAAGCUCACAGUAGCAACAUGAUGAAAGUGCAGUUUAGAAGGGAAACCUACCACUGUAGCGCCCCAUUAGCUUCACAACACCAAUACCAUUUUCAAAACUUUGAGCCUCCACAUGUGCUGCAUUUAUUGCACGCUGGGCCUCCUCUACAGCAGUAUCGAAACCAAAUGACUUGUCGAUUACCUAAACAAGUGACCCGAUAUUAAACACUGACUUGGAACAUUCUAAUCUGCAACUGACAACAAAAGUAGUUAGAUAGGAUAAGAAUAGGAUAUCAAACUACCGCAAUGUCAUUAUCUAUUGUCUUCGGAAUACCAACAACAGCAACUUUAAGACCCCGUCUUUGGAUUUCCUGUAGAGCACGCUCAAUAGUAUCACAAUCAGUAUUAUGACAAUAGCUAUUCUAUUCUGUGGUCAGUAAUAUACCAAAUCUGUUCUUUAAAAAACAAGAGGAGAGCACAUGAUGUAGGACGGAACAUACUAACAUCAAAGCUGUCCAAUAAAACAGUGCCUUUUAUACAGUUUAUUACAACGUUUACCUCAAAUAUGACAGAGGCCCCUUUUUGAGUACCAUCUCCUCCAAUUAUAUAAACCUGGAAGACAGUAAAGUAGACCAGCAUUCUCAAUAUACAUGAAGCACGCAAAACUUGGAUGACAAUUCCUAAUAAAAAUGACACUGAAAAUUAAACAAUAAAAGGUAUAUCAAUGAUGUCCACUUACCUGAUUAAUUCCACGAUCUUCAAUACUGUCAACAAUCUUUGAAGUGUCUUGACCCCCUCGUGAUGUUCCGAGGAUUGUUCCACCUCUUUUGUGAAUAUCAUUGACAUUCUUGGGAGUCAGCGUAAUGGUGUUGCGUGCGUAGAAACCUCUGUAUCCACCCUAUGGAUGCCACAACCCAAAUCAGAUGAUGUCGCAACAAUUUUUAUGAUGAAACUAUAGCAGACAUUUGUAAAGCAUGAUGCAUUUUGCAGAAUAAGGUGGGUUUUUUGAGUUAUUUCCCGAUUAUCCCUCAACUAAACAGUGCUGAAUUUUGUCUCAUCUGCAAUCCCAAUGUGUUGAGAAGAAUACAAGAAAAGGAUUAAAAUAUCUGCAAAAUGAACACAUUAAAGAGAAUUUAAGCACAUAAUAAUGUUAACAAGAAUUAAUUGCUUGCAGCAAGUAAAAUCACGGGAAUGGCUACACAGAUAAUCUGAUGAAAAAUUCAAUGACUGCGAUCUGAAUAAGAGCACUACAAUAAAUUAGUGAACUAAUCUUUCUAAAUAGACGUCACUUACUCACAGCUUUUCUUGUAAGUUAAAUGGUGUAAAAUGAGACAAUAGAUAUAGUUAGAAAAUAAUUGGUGUAACAUAAGCAAAUUAAAUAGAUUCAAGAAGGCAAAAUUUUACAGUUAACAGGAACACUAUCUAGACUUUUUGAACUCCAACAGUAUGUGAACUUCACUUCAUAGGCAGCACACAUAAAUAAUAUGCAAUUACUGAAAUAGCUCUGAGCAAUCGACAUUUAAGUUAAGGGCAUUAAGGGCUGUUGCCUGACCUCUAUGCCGAGAAUUUUGGUGAUGCCAUACAUGUGACACAAGCCACAUACAAUUUCCCUUAUCACAGUAUUAAGUCCAGGGCAAAGACCUCCGCAUGUUACAAUGCACGCACGCACCUCAUCCGACUCAAAAUACACCUGUGCAAAAUCCAAGAGAAGUCAGCAGAUCGAUUCACACUUCACUACUACUUCAGGAAGAUGAGGCAUCAAUGCGUACCCUCUGACGAGGACCAGCGCGGCGAAAAUGGGUCCCUCUGGGGCUGCUCUUUUGAACAACAAUCUACAGAAGGAUCAAAAUCGAAAAGUAAGCAUCAACCACCUUAACUAGAUUUCCAGUAUCUGUUCUUUGUUCUGUACAACCACAGCGAAUCUAUGAGUGCUGUGCCAUGGACGAACUACGAACUCGACGAAGAAAAACUAGAACUUGAAAAUUUUGCUUAAGAACCAUCUAAUUAUAUAAAAUUGGAAAAAGGAAGCCGAAGAGCUCACCUUCUGAGCAACGGUAUCAUCCUUAUUAACAAAAUAUUGCCUAGAAGAUGAAAUACAAAGUUUUAGGAACUCAAUACAGUGGCAUGUUCAAAAUAGUUACAGUAAAUGAUCAUCAAUGUGGAAAAUACGAGAAUUUGAAUUUGAUUAUGGAGAGGGGUGAAAAAAUCUUACUUGACAACAGAGUAAGCUGGAUUAUCUUGCAGCGGAUUUGGAUAGGUCUGGAAUCGACAACAAAUAAAUGACAAAUUAUAAUUAAUAAAUAAAAAAUCUAACGUUAACUAAUAAAAGGUUAUAGAAAGAGAAAAAAAAAGGGUAUGAUCAAAUCGCAGGACACGUAAAUGACGAGUUGUGAUCAUCUAAAAUACACACGAUUAACAACCAAAAACUACAAAACAAACACUCAAUGAAUCAAAUUGCUAAUUUUUCAUUAAAAAAAUCAAAUUACUAAUUUCUCAUCACAAAGGGGGGGGGGNAAAAAAAAAAAAAAAAAUCAAAUUGGUAAUCUUCUCAUAAAAAAAUCAAAUUGCUAAUUCAGAAUCUAAUUUGGAUAUCCAUAAAAAGCGAUUAGUUGAAAAAUAACAGUUCAACGGCACCAAAAUUUGAAAAAAAGAAAAUUACAUUCAGCAGCUCUCCAAAUCAAAAAGGUCGACUUUAUAACUCCAAAAAAACUAAUAAAAAAAAAAAUAAAAAUAAUAGAAUCUGUGGCUACUAAUUUUUCAGCUCAAAAUUCGAAGAAAUCAACCAAAUCAUUACCAUUUUUUUUUUAAAAAGAAUAAACUCCAACUAAUCUCAAAGUGAAGAGCAUUACAAACACCAUUUCCGAUCAAAGGAGUCGAAUAAAACAAACCAAAAAAAAAAAGAAAAACCCCUAAUAAACUCACUGGGAGAUCGGGGAUAUAAUCCAUGAGGUGGGGCACGUCCUCGAGAACGUACCCCGCCUCCCCAACAACGAUCUUCGGGCUCAGCUUGCUCUCGCUCCCCAUCUUCCUCGACGAUCGGGGCUUCGAGUCCCCGUUCUCCAGUGGGGCAUUCACCACCGAGAGCGAGCUCCGGAGGUCGAGGAGGCGAUCGCUCGUGCUCGAUUUCGCUCGAACCUUCGGGGCCGCGGAGUGGUUAGGCGACGACUCCAUUCGCGAGGGCCGAAGCUCCACAAAAUGCGAGACGAGGACGAAGCUGCUUCCGAGUUCUUGGGACCGACAUAUUUAUAGCGAAGGAGACAAAGAGAGAGAGAGAGAGAACGAGAGGCUUCGUCGUCUUCUUCUUCUUUUUUCUUUUUUUUUUUUUUUUUUUUUUUUUUUGUGGUAGCGUUGCAGUGAUGAUGACGGGAGAGAGAAGGAGAUCAGAUUAUGAGAGUGCGUUGUUCUUAUAAUAAAUGGCGUCAAAGUUGGAGAAAUUUACGAUGAUGCCACGGGAAAGUGUGGAAUAUUCCGAGCUAAUAAAGUACACCUUUGGUUUUCAAAUUAUGAACCAUGUAAUAUUUUACUUCUGAAAUUUUAAUUUAUUAUUUUAAUUUUAAAAUUAGUAUAAUUAAGUUUUUAAUUUACUCGAGUACAAAUUAAUGGAUUAUUAAUAUAAAAAUAAUAUAGUAUUUUAAUUGUUAGCAUAUUAUUAAUUACAAUACUGUUAUAUUACUUUAUAUUAGUGGUAUUAAUAUUUGACUAACUAAAUUAGAUUAUAUGAUUUGGUUGUAAUAAUUUUAAAAAUUUCAGCUAAAAAUACUAAAAGUUAAAAUUUGACAAUCAAAAUGUUACUUACCUUAUAGUUUCAUGACCAAACGUGCAAUUUAUCCUUAAAUUUAAAAUAUAAAAUUAUUUUAAAAUUUUAAAAUAAAAUUUAAAAUUCGAUAUAAUUAUUUUAUUAAAUUUUGAGCUUAAAAAAAAAGAAAAAUCUGUCGAUGAAAAUUAAGGUGAGCACUUUACAUCACAAGUUUUAAUAAUUCAUCUGAAGUUUUUAUAUUUGUAUACUUUGCACAUUAUUAUGAAUUUUAUUUGGCAAAAAUAACUAUAGAUAUUCCUAUGUAUGUAAAACGCACUUUGAACGAUGAGUGUAAAAGAGCAUUUUUCGAAAAUAGCAUUUUUUAUGGGUUUUUCGGCAAUUUUCCAUUGUGUUCAGAGCUAAAAAGCCAAUUGAUGAGUAGUUCUGUACUGCUUGGUUCGGGUAUAAGGAAGAACUAGCUAAUACAGAGAUAGGUACAAGUAUAGAUAAGAAAAAUAGCGUUUGGAUGAAAAUUAGAUUGUUCCCGGAGAUAAGAAAAUAUUAGGUAGUUUUAUAUAGAAAAUAGAGGUGUUGAUGGGGAUAAUCGAGAACUAUUAUUCUAGGGUAAAAAAUUAGCGUUUGAAUAUAAAAGGGAUAAAGGUUUAUUCCUAUUCCUAUCCCCUAAUCAAUAUAGUGAACAAUAAAUAUAUUCUUAUAAAGUUUAACUUUUAUAUAUUGUUUCUGUAAAAGUUCUAAUAUUUUUAAACAUAUCUUUCUGAUUUAUUACCAUUGAAAAAUAUUAGAGAACUGUUUAUAUCUUUAAUUUUACCAUCACAAAUAUAUCAUUUUAAAAAUUACAAUAAUAUAAUAUAAGAAGGAUAAAAAUAUUAAAAACCAACCAGAAUUAAAUAUCUAACCUAUGAUUAAUUAAAAUUUUCUAAUAAAUUCUAACGGUAGGGAGAUAUUUGAAAAUAUCAUAUAUUUUAUAAAAACAAUAUAAAAAAAUUAAAUUUUAUAGAAAUAUAUUUAUUAUUUACUAUAUUUAUAGAUAUCUAUAUGAAAUUAAUCCUUAAAUAAAGAGUGGUAUAAAUAAGCAAGAUGUAGUAAAUUCAUACAUCAGGAUUCGUAGAGGAUCCCUCGUUCGAUCGCUUAGAUUCCCCGUUGUGAGUUUGUGACGUGGCACUUCAAAGAUUAAGUUGAGGGAGGGGCGUUGGCCAAUGCACGAGAUUCAACGCCCAGCUUUAGAGAGGGGAAAGGAAAAAUUUCUAGAUGAAAAUAAAACUUUCCAGAGAAGGAAAAAAAAUUUUAGAUGGAAAUAAAACUUUCUAGAGAAAAAAUUACCUUCCACAAAUAAAUAAAUCUACGUCGGUGAAGCUCUGGUCUCAAUAUGCUUCGAGUACAAAACGAUAAGAAAAAGUUAAAAACAAACUAAAAAAAUUUAUUUUGAUUCAAUCUCUAUGCGCUAAGAUAUAGAACAGAAGGCAAAGAAAAUUUUCUUUUAAUAUGUUGAUUCGCUUAAAAAAAAUUUUCGUCUCCAUCCUUCUGUUUUAAACGAUAAGUAAAAGUAAAAAAAAUUAAAGAUAAAAAUUAAUCCGUUCCAAAUCCGUUCUGAUCGUCAAGAAAAUAAAAUCGAGCCACAACGUCCGUAUUCCUAUUCUCAAAAAAGAUUAUAGAUGUAAUUCUGUCUAAUUAUUUAUCUUAAUAUGUAAAAAAUCUCAAUAAAAAAUAUUUAUAUCUAUUUAAUUUUUAAAAAAUUCUUAUGUCGUGACUGUUAAAUAUAAAAAAUAUUUAAAACACCGUUCUCUAACAGCUUAAGCUUUUAAAGUACAACGGUUAUUUCACAUGGUAUCAAAUGUUUAAAACACCAUUCUCUAACAGCUUAAGCUUUUAGAGUACAACGGUUGUUUCACAGUAACAGAUGUUUAAUAACUAUUUCUACCAAAUUUAUAUUUUUGAAUUAAUCAUUCAAAAAGUUCUUACUGGCACGAUUGAUUUUUUUCUCUGAUGUUAAAAACUUAUUAGGGUAUCAAAACACAAACUCACCUAAUCUCAAAUAGAACUUUAAUUAAUCUAAUAAUUUCUAAUCCAACAUUAAUUAUCCUAUUGAUUGC